GGCCAGGACCAUGUCAAUAUGGAGAAUAUCAAUCACCAAUUAAUAUUCCAAAGAAGCCAAGAUCGACUAUAUCGUCAAUUGAUUAUAAAAAAUUUGAUCAAAAAUUGGGAGAAGUUGGAAUAAUAAAUAUCGAUUAUUUACUUCAAGGUUAUUUUCCGAAAUUUGCAAUUGAUCGUACUCCACC